UACGAAGGGUGCAACCGUUGCUCGGAAUUAUUGGGUGUAAAGCGCACGUAGGCGGCUCAGCAAGUCGGAUGUGAAAGCCCACGGCUCAACCGUGGAAGUGCAUCCGAAACUGCUGAGCUUGAGUACUUAAGAGGAUCGCGGAAUUCCCGGUGUAGAGGUGAAAUUCGUAGAUAUCGGGAGGAACACCAGUGGCGAAGGCGGCGAUCUGGGAAGAUACUGACGCUGAGGUGCGAAAGCGUGGGGAGCAAACAGG
rnacentral:rRNA from 1 species